UUUAAUACAUAAUUUCCUGUUUACUUCCUAUCUUUCAGACGCAACUCUUACUGGCAGCGGUAGAGGAAGAGGGACAACCGGAGGAGGGCAGGAGAGAGAUGGCAGAGACCCUGCUAUCUGCCCUGACAGACAGACAGCAGCACAGACAGACCUGGAGAGACAGGUGCCAUUCCAGCCUGGCCCAGACCCUGCCCCCAGAAGAGGCCCCCGUUGACCGGCCGUUUUGGGCCGACGACGACCCCAGCAUGCCUCUGCCCUUUGACCUAGCUGACAUCAUCAACAGGGUGGAGUCACUCCUCUGGAGGAUGUGACGGAUGGGACACAAAGUAAAGAGAAGGAGAAAGAGAGCGAGAGAGUCACCCCGUCAUCUGAACAGCCUCUAUCGUGAGGACAGACGACAGAGGAGGAGAACAGGACCUACCAACGUCCUCCAAUGGGGGUACACUUCCCCACCCUGGACCCCUCCCAACCCUGUACCUCGCCCCACCCCGCCCAAACCAGUCUCAUCUAGCUUUGCUUGGAUUGACUCAACAUGGCUGCAACAUGAGGAUGGAACCCUGAGUAGUGCUUUGCUAACAUGCUAUAGCUGGUAUUGGAACUAGUCUCACAAUGAUAACGUGGAUAACCUGCAGAAUUAAAACUGAAUGUGUAGGAAUGUAUUAUUUCAAUGAAUGUUCUGUUUCUUUUCUACAUUUAGCCAGCUUUGUGUAUGGAUAUGACAAAUAGUCAUACAGAUGUAGGAUCUUAAUUUGACCAGUUUCUCACAGCAGCAAAAUUAUCCUGCAGCAACAGGAAAUGUGAAUUAUUGGGUGGAUUAUAAUUAAUGGACAUUUUUAAAACAUAAAUCCUUUUAAACCUUUUAAACCUUGAAUGCACUCCCAAGUUUGCAUUUCCUUGCUGCUCAGGAAAUUUCCUGCAACAACAGGGUGAUCAUAUUAAAAUCCUAUAUCUGUAGUACAUUUAUACUUUCUGUUUCUAACUCAAUGUUGUUCUAAUUAUGGUGUUGUAUCCUAAUGUCCAUUCACUUCCUGUAUUUCACAACUUACUUGUUCAGAAUCUCACAGGGCAUGACUUUGUGUUACUAAGAUGUGACUGAAAGUGUUUGUUUGUGUGUGUGUGUGUGUGUGUGUGUGUGUGUGUGUGUGUGUGUGUGUGUGUGUGUGUGUGUGUGAGAAUGUGUGCCUCUGCAGUAUUUACAGUAUGUGAAAUUGUAUGUGUGUGAAGCAGUAUGAUAGGGCCUGUAGCAGGGCUGGGAGAUGUUUGUGUUAGAGAGGAAAGGACACAAGUCUAGUAGGCCUAUAGGUUCUAGUAGGCAUGUCUCUGUCUGCAGGCCUGUCUCUAGUCUGCUCUGUAGGGCUGAAAGGCAGCCCAGGCAGACAGCUACUGUAGGACUGAAAGGCAGCCCAGACAGACAGCAACUGUAGGACUGAAAGGCAUCCCAGGCAGACAGCUACUGUAGGACUGAAAGGCAGCCCAGGCAGACAGCUACUGUAGGACUGAAAGGCAGCCCAGGCAGUCAGUUUAUGUAGGACUGAAAGGCAGCCCCGACAGACAGCUACUGUAGGACUGAAAGGCAGCCCAGACAUACAGUUUAUGUAGGACUGAAAGGCAGCCCCGACAGACAGCUACUGUAGGACUGAAAGGCAGCCCAGACAGACAGUUUAUGUAGGACUGAAAGGCAGCCCAGACAGACAGUUUAUGUAGGGCUGAAAGGCAGCCCAGACAGACAGUUUAUGUAGGACUGAAAGGCAGCCCAGACAGACAGCCACUAUACUGUAGGGCUGAUAGAAGGAUCCCCAUCCCAACUGCCACUCUGUCUUCAUAAUUGCAGCUGUUCAAUGGCUUUUAAUUAGUCUUAAAGCGUGUAGAGCACCACUUUCCCUGUAUCGCUGCAGGCCAGAAACUCAGAUCCACGGCUUCUGACAAAACCAACCAGGAAAGAGAAGCUAUGGGUGAAAUGUGAUGGUUGUCAAAGCCAAGCAGAGCAGCCUUCUUUUUAUUUCUUAGUAACACUUUAUUUCCGGGAUCAUCAACUAGAUUCAGCCGCCGGUCGAAUUACAAAUCAUUUUUAGACUGCAAAUUGACCCCAAGAAGCCUAAAAAGAUCAUAUUUGACUAAAACAUAAUAAUUUCAAACCUUGCUCACGUUUGUACACGAUUACUUGUCUCACUAUUAUGCGUGGGAGUACUUGGGAAUUAUAUAUAUAUAUAUUUUUUAUUUUAUUAUUAUUUUGCUUCGAAAACUUGGGGGCCAAAUAAAACCACCCGCGGGCCGCAGUUGGGCAGCUGCUUUCUUUGACCUGGCCACCAUAAUGCCUUUAUAACAAUGUUGUAAACAUGUCAUAAUGCUUCAUAGCUUGUGUCAUUGUGAUAACUGAAGCUUUAUGGCAUGUGUUGACAAGUUAUGACUUGUGGUAUGAAGCUUUAUAACAUGGUUAGGACAUUUUUUUGAAGGUUAUGAAGAGAUCAUGGUGUUUAGUUCAAAUUAAGUCUUACCAAUUUCUUUAUCUAUAUAUAUCAACAGGAAGUAGAACUGAUAUGUAGUGUUAAAAAUCCACUUCUCAAAGUUUUUUACUUCUGGAAGUUUUUCCAAUUACAAAUGUUAACGGUUGCCAAAAUGUUGUUCUUUUGCUUAAUCUUUUUGUAUGUUGACUGAGGUUGAGAUUGUAGACUGGCUGUAUUGUUGAGUUGAACAACUAUGUGCUCUCUGUUUCACAGCUCAGCUUGUCUGUCUGAAGCUUUAGGAAGGCAGUAAAUAAACCAAGACAGUGUUUUAUGA